rnacentral:rRNA from 1 species
UACGCAGGGUGCGAGCGUUGUCCGGAAUUAUUGGGCGUAAAGGGCUCGUAGGCGGUUUGUCGCGUCGGGAGUGAAAACACUGGGCUUAACCGAGUGCUUGCUUUCGAUACGGGCAGACUUGAGGCAUUCAGGGGAGAACGGAAUUCCUGGUGUAGCGGUGAGAUGCGCAGAUAUCAGGAGGAACACCGGUGGCGAAGGCGGUUCUCUGGGAAUGUUCUGACGCUGAGGAGCGAAAGUGUGGGGAGCGAACAGG